rfam:Solanum lycopersicum cultivar Heinz 1706 chromosome 10, whole genome shotgun sequence.
UCGUAAUUUUACAUGAUUAUGGGUAGCACAAGGAUUAAUGUGAAACAGAAAAGUGAUAUGCAAAGAAGAUGGAGAUUCAAUUGUUUAUUGUUACGAAGAAAACACUUUUGUGUUUCUCGUGAAUCCUUCGGCUAUCCAUAAUCAUGUUGAAUGUGU